rnacentral:lncRNA from 1 species
ACCAAAGAACCACGCAGCCGUGCUGUUCUUAGAGAAGUUCAAUAUCAGAAUUGCUUCAAGGGGGUUUCUUCUUUGAACUUUAAUUUCACUCAUGUUGUUCUUGAUGUUUAUGUACUCUGAAAUCAUGUUGUGUAAUUAAGUUCAUAGCUGGGGAUUUCGAUGUAGCCUUGCAAAACUAUUCUAUGUUGUUAAGUUAAAGAAUUAAAUUCAUCAAUCUAUUUUCUUGUUUCAUUCUCUGAUUUUAUAGUUCAAUAUGUUUGUUUAUCUUAAUGUUUGAUCACCAUUAGGGUUUCUUACAGAUUAUUUGAUCAAGGUUAUAGUACACAUCAUGCUUAAUCUUGGUAAACAUGUGCAUGAAUCAAGAAACUGCUAUGCAUACAUCAUGCCAUGUGAUUUGUUUGGUUCUUGGAAGUUUUCUUAUUCUUAAUGGAUUCUUAUUUGGUAAUCUAAGUUGAACAUCACAACUAGGUUGUAGAUUAGGAGUACUUGAUCACAACCACACAUCAAAUGGAUGAUCAUAAAUGAGUAAAAUGAACCCUAGUUGCAAAUUGGAGAGUUGAAUUCGUUUUGACUUAAUUUUCAUGGAAUUGGCUUAUAACGGUGAAAUUGGUAUCCCUAGUUCCAUUCCCAUUGUUUUUUAAUCAUUCUAUUAUUCAUAUUUACAUUCUCUUGCAUUUUAAGUUACUUUACUUCUCAAAUCAAAAUCCAAACUCAAUUUGUUAGUUUCAUUGUUUAGUUACGGUUCACAUAAAGCUAGUAAUUUGUAGAGGUCUAAUCAGUCCCUAUGGUUCGACACCCUUACUUGUGCCACUAUACUAUCCUUAUUUUUGCACUUGAAAGGAACACAACAUGAAGUUUUCACACCCUUUCUUUAAAUGUGUUAUUUGUUAUCUUUUCUUUGUUCUACACAUUCAAGACAAUGUUUGAUUUUAGUUUGGGGGGAGGAUUUGAGGAUUUAGAUUUCUGUUUCUAUGUUCUGUUUUCGUUUAAUGUUCAUGCUAUCUAUGUUUGCGUAAAACUGCUUUAACUCGGAAGGAAUUUGAAGAUUUUGUCCGCACUACUUCUUCAAUUUUUUGUCUUCUUUCCAGCCAUAUAAAGACCAUGAAAAUUGGAUUUUUCUUUCAAAAGUUAUGAUCAAAUCUUUGUCUAAAGGUCGAAACUGCAUGUGGUGCUGUCAUAUUUGCAACUCACUGUUAGCAAUUUCUGUUGGCAUAUUUCUUUGUAGUUCUUUGUUCUAUUUUCCGUUCUUCUAUUUAAGUCUUAAUGUAAAAAAUUCAAAAAGAUUUUAUUUUUCUUGAUUCGUUUUUUUAAGAUCUUCCAUAAGUCAAUGAUAAUACUUCGCUUUCUUCUAGGUCACAAACUUAUUUGAAUUGGUUUUUUUUUUUUUUAUGUGAAAUUUCAAUUGUUUUAUAGGGUUAAUCAGAUUCUUGCAUGAUCAUUAUUUUGUACAAAUAAUCAAUGUCAGUAUGAUUAGCUUUUAACUUAGAGAAUUAUAUGUGGAUUUUAAGUGAAAACUUAUUGAGCCUUUGUGAGCUUUUGAGCCUCUUGCAUAUUCUUGCUUGUGAGUUUCAUGAUAGCAUUAUCAUUCACUAGAACUUGCUUCAAUAUCUCUCAAGGUGAAAUCCCAAGUCAUGCAACAUUAGGGAGAUGAUUUUGGCCAUGUUUGGAUCGUUUGAGCCUUUCUAACCAACCUUUAUGUUAUGUUAUCCCUAAUCACCCUUUUGAAGCCAAACACUACGCUUUUCUUUCAUCACCCACAUUCAUCCCUACCCAUUUAACCUAUAUUAGCCAUACCUAUAGCUUAAGGGAUACCAAAGGGAUGUCAAUAAAGAUAAAGGUUGGGUUCUACAACAAAGAAGUGGCGUGUACCGAGGUACCAUGUAUAGUAUUAUCUUUAUUUUAUGAUUAUUUCAUGAAAAAAAAGAAGAAAAAAAAUUGGAAAAAAAAAAGAAAAGAAAAGAAGUAAAAAUAUAUCAAAGAAGUUAGG